GCGGAGGUGGCGGAAUUGGUAGACGCGCAUGGUUGAGGGCCAUGUGGGCAUUGCGCCCGUGGGGGUUCGAGUCCCCCCCCCCGCACCA
rnacentral:tRNA from 1 species